AUUGAACGCUGGCGGCAUGCUUAACACAUGCAAGUUGAACGGCAGCAUGAUAUGUAGCAAUACAUAUUGAUGGCGAGUAGCGGACGGGUGAGUAAUACGUAGGAAUCUGCCUUGUGGAAGGGGAUAACUUGGGGAAACCCGAGCUAAUACCGUAUAAGUUCUAAGGAAGAAAGCAUGGGACCGAAAGGCCAUGUGCCAUGAGAUGAGCCUACGUCGGAUUAGCUAGUUGGUGGGGUAAAGGCCUACCAAGGCGAGGAUCCGUAGCUGGUC
rnacentral:rRNA from 1 species